rnacentral:lncRNA from 1 species
GUCUGUCAUCCCAACUGUCAAAAAAAGCAACAUGGCACAAACGGUGACUCCCCCGUACCAUUGUGUUUACCGGAUACGGUCACCGCCACCCUUCCCCCUUACACCCUUGUGAACAAUUUUUUAUUUUCUGUAAGCUUACUUUAUUUGUUUUAAUGUAAGAUGUAAACUUAUCAUCUAAAGUUGUUUGAUUAUUAAUAACAAAAAUAUUAACGGGCCAACCCGACCCGCGUAUUUUCGGUUCAUCUUGUAUCUUCAAAGAUGCAUUCUUCUACUCCCCUACCAAAACUUUGCAGAAUUCAAGGAUAAAAUUGAUAGUAAAUCCAGAUCUAGAACAACGUUACGAAUUCAACAAUGAAACUGAAAAAUCAGAUCUAAAGCUCUCAAUCUGGCUACAUGAGGAUCGUAAUCAAACCGAGCCCUAGCCGAUUCGAUUUGGCAAUCUAACGACGCCGACGAUAACGACCGUUUCAACCGCUUGUUAUUGCGCUGCUGAAUCGAGAUAUCUUUCAAUCGCUCUUCCAUCGUUUCGAUCUUCGAAUCCUCCUCAUCGGCAAUUCGCAUCGGUUCAUCAUCAUCGAUAUUAUCCGCUUGUAGUUGUUGUUGUGGUGGUGGUGAUUGUGUGGUGUGAGCGAGGAAGAGAGAGAGGUGGCGGUGAGCGGCGUGGAGGGAGGCGUAAAUAGUUGCAGAGUCGGUGGUUGAUGGAAGCUGCUUUGCCAUGACGGUUGCGUGCUCUAAAACUGUCACAAGGAAUUGGCAUGGAAUGCUAUAAAUGGAUACCUGAGCUCGAGCUUCACUCGGUUCGAAACCUCUUUGUAAACAAAGAGUUUGGCUCGUGAGUGAUUUUUUUAGUUCUGGCUCAAGUUUGGCUUUGUUAUUAUUUAUUAAUAUUAAUUAAUUUAAAUCUAAAUACACUUA